rnacentral:rRNA from 1 species
UGCCAGAGACAUAUCUCCCUGCAGUUCUCAACUGGUUUCCUUCUGAAGCUAAGCAGGGUUGAACCUGACCCGUACCCGGAUGGGAGACCUCCUGUGGAAAACUAAGGUUGCUAUUGGAA